rnacentral:lncRNA from 1 species
UUUUCAUAACCGGACAAAAGUAAUGUUCUCAUAGACAAAUCUAUGUUUUCCUCACUCUCUUGAUUCUUGUUAUAUAUGUCACUAGAAUUUGAAUUGAGUUGCUAGUCGUGUGAUCCUGUAUUCAGGUUUGCUUCCUCAAAAAGUAUUUUGUAACGAAGAGGCAUUCAUCUAUUUUAUUUUUUGUUGCAGGAUAAAAAUUCUUGAGUUUUAGAUAUGUUAGAGCAGUUACUGAUAUUUACUAGAGGAGGUCUGAUCCUCUGGACAUGCAAAGAACUUGGAAAUGCACUAAGGGGUUCACCUAUUGACACCUUGAUUAGGUCAUGCCUUUUGGAGGAAAGGUCAGGUGCAGCAUCAUACAAUUAUGAUGCACCUGGUGCUUCAUAUACGCUUAAAUGGACAUUUCACAAUGAACUUGGACUUGUAUUUGUUGCUAUAUAUCAGCGGAUUCUUCAUCUCUUGUAUGUGGAUGACUUGCUUGCUAUGGUUAAGAAAGAAUUCUCGGAGAUCUAUGAUCCUAAGCGUACUGUGUACAAUGAUUUUGAUGACAUAUUUCUGCAGCUUAAGAAGGAAGCUGAGUCUCGUGCUGAGGAAAUGAAGAAAUCAAAGCAGGUGAACAAGCCUUUGAAUAAUAAUGUUGGUAAGAAGCAAGGAAAGGUGCAAAAUGGCAGUAUGGAAGGAGGCAAUAAAAAAAAGAGUGGAGGUGAAUCUGGAGAUGAUGCUGGAGAUGGAAACAAGUUUAAAGGUCAUCCAUUAGAAAAUGGAAAUUUUGAAAAUAACCAUGUUGGAAAUGGGGAAGUGCCCGCAAUGGGUAAUAGUAAAGAGAGUAGGGUCUCUGAUGCUGGGGCUUUUGAUGUAAAUAAACUCCAGAAGCUUAGAUCUAAAGGUGGAAAGAAAACUGACACUUCUGUUAACAAGGGUUCCAAGGUAGAACCCAAUAAAAAGGUAACUAAAAAGAACAGAGUUUGGAAUGAUUCACCAUCAGAGUCAAAAUUGGAUUUUACUGAUCCAGUGAGUGAGAAUGGGGAAGAAAAUGUAGCUGCUGUUAUAGCAGAUCAAGGUGAGAGUAUGAUGGACAAAGAGGAGAUUAUUGAUAGUGAAAGUGAUACUGAGGAUGGGGAAAUGGCUAAGGAUAAUAAGGUAGAAACGAAGAAGAAAAGUUGGUUCUCAUCCAUGUUCCAGAGGUAAACUCUCUAUCUUGCACCUAAUUAGUGUGGCAAUUCGUAUUUGCAAACUAAUUCAUUUUUUAGAACAUAUAUGUAACUCAGGUAGCUUCUCAUUCACUUUGAAACAGGAUC